GAUGAACGCUGGCGGCGCGCCUAAUACAUGCAAGUCGAGCGAACGGACGAGAAGCUUGCUUCUCUGAUGUUAGCGGCGGACGGGUGAGUAACACGUGGAUAACCUACCUAUAAGACUGGGAUAACUUCGGGAAACCGUAGCUAAUACCGGAUAAUAUUUUGAACCGCAUGGUUCAAAAGUGAAAGACGGUCUUGCUGUCACUUAUAGAUGGAUCCGCGCUGCAUUAGCUAGUUGGUAAGGUAACGGCUUACCAAGGCAACGAUGCAUAGCCGACCUGAGAGGGUGAUCGGCCACACUGGAACUGAGACACGGUCCAGACUCCUACGGGAGGCAGCAGUAGGGAAUCUUCCGCAAUGGGCGAAAGCCUGACGGAGCAACGCCGCGUGAGUGAUGAAGGUCUUCGGAUCGUAAAACUCUGUUAUUAGGGAAGAACAUAUGUGUAAGUAACUGUGCACAUCUUGACGGUACCUAAUCAGAAAGCCACGGCUAUCUACGUG
rnacentral:rRNA from 1 species